rnacentral:lncRNA from 1 species
CGAACGGAAUGAAAGCCUCCGUGUCGCGCUUCCUGCCUCGGCGCCCCGGCCUGGGGGGGGCCAUGUGGGCUCCCCGGGGCUCCUCGCUGUGGCGGGUUCCCCAGCGCCGGGCAGUGGGACGUGGGGAGCGGAGGAGAGGUGCACGUGGAGGGCGCCGGGCCAGCCCUGCGCUCCGUAGGACGCACCCUGCCCCGGGGCCGUCCAUCCUACGCUCCCACCCCGUGCCCUCACCACGGAGAGAGCCAGCAGAGGUCACCCGCCGGGCCUGCUCUCGUGCGAAGCACCCCCAUGUACGCGCCCCCGCAGGAAGACUCGGGCUCACCUGCCUGCAGGAGCCCGGCCUCUCUGUGCACCCCGGCCCCCUCCAGGUGCAGCUCAGACCCGCAUGGCUUUCUCCUGCCUUCGACGCCUCACGAAGCCCACAGCAGCCUCCUGAGACUCCAGGAGCCUUGCACACCCGGGGCUUACCCUUGACACAGCUCUCCGCGAAGGGGAGGCUUUCGUUUGGCUGUGGUCAGGUGUAGCUGAAGGUGCGACACCAGGAGGAGCUGAGUAAAUCCCACCUGAGACACGGUCAGUCUCGCCAGUUCCAGAGAACGUUCGUGAUGGAUAAGGAAUGAGACGGCUGUGGAGCUGGAGUGUGAACAGCGUUAGGCUACAUUUCUCUCCUCCUGGUUCUGCAGUGACAGAGGACUGGGUCUUAGGCCGAGGAAUGGAAACGAAGCUGGAAAUCUAGCCUUUAUCACGAGGGCAUUUACUGUCAAUCUGUCUUCCUCCAUUGCGUUAGUGCUGCUUCCCAAGCACUUAUGGAGGUCCUGUUGGCUUCAGGGAGCACUACGAGCUCAGUACCGAAAACAAGUACCAAAUUGUUUUGGCUGGAAAGGGUAGCAAUUCACAGGGCAGUUCUGCCUUGCAUGCUGAGUACCAAACAAGUACUGAGUACCAAACAAGUACCGAGGCAAAAUUUUCACAUCAAAAUGUGUCACUGUACCAAAUUUGAUCCGUUUCAAAGCAGUUGAGUACCAAGCUGUGACUGUAUAUCCUAAGUUCUGCCACUCUUCCUUCUAUUUCCUAAGAUACAUCCUCCUUCUCAGCCAGUUCACCCUCAAACCUGCCACACUGAGAACAGGCCACGGUAGAUGGAAGCUGUUAUUUCAGGCUCCAAGUAUUCCAUAAGAUAAAUACAUUAUCUCAUAGAGUAGGAAGCCUAUGAGAACCGGAGCUCAUAUUUUAUGUAAGACUUUUCCCAAUGACAGAUCACUCAAGACAGUGCUGUAAUUUUAGUUUUAAACAAAUAAUUUGUAAAGAAAUCAAGAGAAUACAGGCAACAGAAAUAGUCUUUUUAGAAAUUCAUUUAAAAAUUUUAUUAGUACAUACUGGUUACAUUCAUUGUGGGGAACUGCUGCAUGUACAGAACACAUUUCAAUUCUUUCCUUUUUCCCUCCUUCCAUCCCCUUUUCUGUUUCUUUUUUGCCAAGAUCAGCUUUGUUUACUCUUAUAAGUCUUUAUCAAGUUAAUCAUCAUAAACACAGAUUAACAGCCAAACUAAUAGGCACAAAUAUAUAGAACACAUAAAAUAAUUCUAUUAAAGCAAGGCACAUUUUAGAUACAUUGGCCAUGCUAGGAUACAAUAACUUUUUUUCCUCUUUUUUCUAUUAUCUUUUAUUUGUACUUUAUUUAUAUAUUGGAUUUCUCAUUUAAGAGAAACCAUGUGCUAUCUAAGCUUGUGCAUGAUACACUUAUUAUGAUCUCGAGGACACUGUCCUUUGUAGGGGACAGUGUUUCAAAUUUGCCCUUCUUGGACAAAUUGGCAGAGUAGUACUCCAUUGUGUAUAAAUAUCACAUUUUCUUCAUCCAUUUAUCUGUUGAUGGCAAAUAGGACAUUUCCAAGCUUUAAACAUGGGUAUGCAUGUAUCACUGUAGUAUUAUGUCUUUAACUCUCUCGGGAAGAUACUUAGGCAAUAGCUGGGACAAAUGGGAUUUCUCUUUUUAGUGUUUUGAGGAUUUUCUAUACUUCUUUUACUAUUUAUUAUAGUGCGCUAUAAAACAGGUCUGUUGACCACAAAAUCUUAUCAUUGUAUUUUGUCUGAAAAUGUUCUUUUUGCCUUCCUAUUUGAACAGUGUCU